AUUACCUACGGGGGGCAGCAGUGGGGAAUAUUGCACAAUGGGGGAAACCCUGAUGCAGCGACGCCGCGUGGGUGAAGAAGUAUUUCGGUAUGUAAAGCCCUAUCAGCAGGGAAGAAAAUGACGGUACCUGACUAAGAAGCCCCGGCUAACUACGUGCCAGCAGCCGCGGUAAUACGUAGGGGGCAAGCGUUAUCCGGAUUUACUGGGUGUAAAGGGAGCGUAGACGGCAGCGCAAGUCUGGAGUGAAAUGCCGGGGCCCAACCCCGGAACUGCUUUG
rnacentral:rRNA from 1 species